rnacentral:rRNA from 1 species
GCCCAGACUCCUACGGGAGGCAGCAGUGGGGAAUAUUGCACAAUGGGGGAAACCCUGAUGCAGCGACGCCGCGUGAAGGAAGAAGUAUUUCGGUAUGUAAACUUCUAUCAGCAGGGAAGAAAAUGACGGUACCUGACUAAGAAGCCCCGGCUAACUACGUGCCAGCAGCCGCGGUAAUACGUAGGGGGCAAGCGUUAUCCGGAUUUACUGGGUGUAAAGGGAGCGUAGGCGGUUUAGCAAGUCAGAAGUGAAAGCCCGGGGCUCAACUCCGGGACUGCUUUUGAAACUGUUGAACUAGUUUGCAGGAGAGGUAAGUGGAAUUCCUAGUGUAGCGGUGAAAUGCGUAGAUAUCACGCAGAACUCCGAUUGCGAAGGCAGCGCACCGGCGCCCUACUGACGCUCAGGCACGAAAGCGUGGGUAUCGAACAGGAUUAGAUACCCCCGUACUA